rnacentral:rRNA from 1 species
AGUGAACGCUGGCGGUAGGCCUAACACAUGCAAGUCGAACGGCAGCACAGUAAGAGCUUGCUCUUACGGGUGGCGAGUGGCGGUCGGGUGAGGAAUACAUCGGAAUCUACUUUUUCGUGGGGGAUAACGUAGGGAAACUUACGCUAAUACCGCAUACGACCUACGGGUGAAAGCAGGGGAUCUUCGGACCUUGCGCGAUUGAAUGAGCCGAUGUCGGAUUAGCUAGUUGGCGGGGUAAAGGCCCACCAAGGCGACGAUCCGUAGCUGGUCUGAGAGGAUGAUCAGCCACACUGGGACUGAGACACGGUCCAGACUCCUACGGGAGGCAGCAGUGGGGAAUAUUGGACAAUGGGCGCAAGCCUGAUCCAGCCAUACCGCGUGGGUGAAGAAGGCCUUCGGGUUGUAAAGCCCUUUUGUUGGGAAAGAAAAGCAGCAGGUUAAUACCCCGCUGUUCUGACGGUACCCAAAGAAUAAGCACCGGCUAACUUCGUG